AGAGUUUGAUCAUGGCUCAGGAUGAACGCUGGCGGCGUGCUUAACACAUGCAAGUCGAACGGGGAAUGCUUUGACAGAGACUUCGGUUGAAGUCGUUGUAUUCCUAGUGGCGGACGGGUGAGUAACGCGUGGGUAACCUGCCUCACACAGGGGGAUAACAGUUAGAAAUGACUGCUAAUACCGCAUAAGGCCACAGCACCGCAUGGUGCAGGGGUAAAAACUCCGCGG
rnacentral:rRNA from 1 species